UACGGAGGGGGCGAGCGUUGUCCGAAUUUAUUGGGCGUAAAGAGCGUGUAGGCGGCCAGACAGGUCAGCUGUGAAAACUCGAGGCUCAACCUCGAGACGUCGGUUGAAACCGUCUGGCUAGAGUCCGGAAGAGGAGAGUGGAAUUCCCGGUGUAGCGGUGAAAUGCGCAGAUAUCGGGAAGAACACCCGUGGCGAAGGCGGCUCUCUGGGACGGUACUGACGCUGAGGUGCGAAAGCGUGGGGAGCAAACAGG
rnacentral:rRNA from 1 species